UACAGAGGUCCCGAGCGUUGUUCGGAUUCAUUGGGCGUAAAGGGUGUGUAGGAGGUUGUGUAAGUCGGGUGUGAAAUGCUAGCGCUUAACGUUAGAACUGCACUCGAUACUGCAUAGCUAGAGGAUCGGAGGGGAGAGCGGAAUACUUGGUGUAGCAGUGAAAUGCGUAGAUAUCAAGUGGAACACCAGUGGCGAAGGCGAGUCUCUGGACAUUUCCUGACGCUGAGGCACGAAAGCCAGGGGAGCAAACGGG
rnacentral:rRNA from 1 species